rnacentral:rRNA from 1 species
AGUGAACGCUGGCGGUAGGCCUAACACAUGCAAGUCGAACGGCAGCACAGUAAGAGCUUGCUCUUACGGGUGGCGAGUGGCGGACGGGUGAGGAAUACAUCGGAAUCUACUUUUUCGUGGGGGAUAACGUAGGGAAACUUACGCUAAUACCGCAUACGACCUACGGGUGAAAGCAGGGGAUCUUCGGACCUUGCGCGAUUGAAUGAGCCGAUGUCGGAUUAGCUAGUUGGCGGGGUAAAGGCCCACCAAGGCGACGAUCCGUAGCUGGUCUGAGAGGAUGAUCGGCCACACUGGAACUGGGACACGGUCCAGACUCCUACGGGAGGCAGCAGUGGGGAAUAUUAGACAAUGGGCGCAAGCCUGAUCCAGCCAUACCGCGUGGGUGAAGAAGGCCUUCGGGUUGUAAAGCCCUUUUGUUGGGAAAGAAAAGCAGCAGGUUAAUACCCCGCUGUUCUGACGGUACCCAAAGAAUAAGCACCGGCUAACUUCGUG